GCAUGCACGCAAACAAUGCGCUUAACGACGCUCUGAUCGCCGCCGAUCAAUCGUCCUUCUGGCCGCCUGUACAAGCUCCAUGUUUCCUCCUUCCUGUUAGAGGCACUACAUAAAGAGCUCAGUGGAACGGCCAGCUCGUGGUGUUGGUGGUGGACUUUCCGGGUGGUGGUACUCCUUUGGUUUGGUGCACGAUUUUCUUUUGUUUUUGCCUUGUUUCGUUUGCUGUGUUUCUUUUCUUUUAGGACACUACCCCGAAUUGCACUCCCAUCCCCGAGUUGAGCUAGCACUGACUUUUAAUGCGAGUGGUUUUAGACUAGUAUUUUUGAUUAACAAACAAUUGUGGAAUAAAUAAAAAUUGUUACAUUGU